AAAUUGUCCUUUAAUCUGUGCAUCAUAGCGAACCGAGCGGGAUGGUAGGAUGGGGGUUGGUACCAACCUACGAUCCUUGGUCGACGGCUAGGUGCCCCAUAUCUUCUAUCAAUGUUUAAGGACUCCACUCUUCAAGUACUUGGAGCAUCCGUUGAGAAAGAAGGUGAGUGGGCUAUUGUGGGUGGGACCGGUGAAUUUGCAAUGGCACGUGGCGUCAUCAAGAUAAGAGUACAUGAGAAAAUACCUGGUGGAGAAAUACUAGAGCUUGAUAUCCUUGGAUAUUGUACUAAGCCGAGCCGUGCUCUUGCUGUUACGAAGAUGAAGCAUGGGGUUCACAAGGAAAUUUCGUUCAUGACAUCAACCACAAACCUUUGCGUCUAAAAAGUGUGACUGUUCACACCAGCGACCUCUUCGACGGAAUUAAAUUUACUUACAUUGCCCAAAUUGGGCAGAUUCGCACGGAAAACCUUUGGGGUUUUAGUCAAGAUGGAUCGGAGCACACACUCACACUAGGUCCUUCGGAGUUUCUGAAGGAAGUAUCCGGUUCAAUUGAUAACUCCAGUGCCCCGAACUAUUUUCUACGGUCAAUAAAAUUGGUCACAAAUGAAAGAGAGUUUGGACCUUUUGGUGGAACGCGAGGUGGU